rnacentral:lncRNA from 12 species
AUGAGGACACUGAGGCCCCAGACCUCUAUGUCAGCUGCCAUAUUAAGGCAGAUGUCAUGUGCUGUGGUGAAGAUGGGAUCCGAACGCCCGGCAGCCUGGAUCCAGAUUUGGAGACUGAGACUGAGGGCUCUGGCGUCAGCGGGAGCUGGGCUGGAAUCGUCCAGAUUCUUACCUAGAAUCUUCCAGGGACCACUUACUCCUUCUGCUUCCACUGGCUCCUGGGCUGUGGGUUGGAAUAUACAGGAGAGGAAAGGGGACUUUAGGACAAGUGCCAAGAACUUUGCAGAAAUCUUCCUUGCUCAUCCUGUACAAAUCUGUGAAGCCUUCUGGGUCUCCUCCGUGCCGAGUGGCACUGAGGCCCGCUCUGCGCUGCUGGCCCUUCAGCUCCUGGCUCUGGUUCUUCUCUGGCCCCCUCUCAUGGCACAGAAGACUCUCCGGGGGUGUGCUGAGUGCAGAAAGCAAGUUGACCAUCAGCAGAGAGGGCAAGAAUCACCAGGGAGAGACCCAGCAAGCCUGCUCCCACCAUGCCACAAGAAUAUGUACAGCAGAAGAUGCCAGCAAGGCAGCCAGAACCGGUGAAGUCAGAACCUCCAGAGGUGAGGCUGGCAAACCGGACUUUUUCUCCCAAGCAUGCUGCUCUCCGAGAACCACGGGACCAAGCAGAGCUGCGGUGAGGAGCCUGGUGACUGAGCCUGGGGACUGGGCCCCCCACCCCCACCCCGCCCCCGCGCCCUGCCCUGCGCGCAGCGACUCCUGGCAGGUCGCACCUGCAGCACAGGGAGCUGGGGACCGGGUACGGGGACAGUGA